rnacentral:rRNA from 1 species
GCAGGCUGCAACCCGCCUGUAUGAAGUUGGAAUCGCUAGUAAUCGCGGAUCAGCAUGCCGCGGUGAAUACGUUCCCGGGCCUUGUACACACCGCCCGUCACACCAUGAGAGUCGGGAACACCCGAAGUCCGUAGCCUAACCGCAAGGAGGGCGCGGCCGAAGGUGGGUUCGAUAAUUGGGGUGAAGUCGUAACAAGGUAAC